AUUGAACGCUGGCGGCAGGCUUAACACAUGCAAGUCGAGCAGAGCGAGGGUGCUUGCACCUUAGCUUAGCGGCGGACGGGUGAGUAAUGCUUAGGAAUCUGCCUAGUAGUGGGGGACAACAUUCCGAAAGGAAUGCUAAUACCGCAUACGCCCUACGGGGGAAAGCAGGGGACCUUCGGGCCUUGCGCUACUAGAUGAGCCUAAGUCGGAUUAGCUAGUUGGUGGGGUAAAGGCCUACCAAGGCGACGAUCUGUAGCGGGUCUGAGAGGAUGAUCCGCCACACUGGGACUGAGACACGGCCCAGACUCCUACGGGAGGCAGCAGGGGGGAAUAUUGGACAAUGGGGGGAACCCUGAUCCAGCCAUGCCGCGUGUGGGAAGAAGGCCUUUGGUUGUAAAGCACUUUAAGCGAGGAGGAGGCUACCGAGAUUAAUACUCUUGGAUAGUGGACGUUACUCGCAGAAUAAGCACCGGCUAACUCUGUGCCAGCCGCCGCGGUAA
rnacentral:rRNA from 1 species